rnacentral:rRNA from 1 species
AUUGAACGCUGGCGGCAGGCCUAACACAUGCAAGUCGAACGAGUGGCGGACGGGUGAGUAAUGUCUGGGAAACUGCCUGAUGGAGGGGGAUAACUACUGGAAACGGUAGCUAAUACCACAUACCAUCGGAUGUGCCCAGAUGGGAUUUGCUAGUAGGUUGGGUAAAGGCUAACCUAGGCGACGAUCCCUAGCUGGUAUGAGAGGAUGACCAGCCACACUGGAACUGAGACACGGUCCAGACGCCUACGGGAGGCAGCAGGGGGGAAUAUUGGACAAUGGGCGCAAGCCUGAUGAAGCCAUGCUGCGUGGAGGAAGAAGGCCUUCGGGUUGUAAAGUACUUUGAGCGGGGAGGCGUUACCCGCAGAGGAAGCACCGGCUAACUCCGUGCCAGCAGCCGCGGUAAUAC